GGGGCUGAUCGGUUUCGACAGUGGAUGCCGCUUCAUGGGAAGCGGGCCGAGGAUGUGCGCUUAUCUCGUUAACGAUGCGUUCAAACCAAUAGUUGCCGACUCUAACGUUCGCAACGACUUUGCCCUUGCUGCCUGAGCAGUAAGCCCGAAGUCCGUGGGUGCAGAUUUGCUCUUGAUCUGUUAACCCGCGUCAUCUCAGAGAGCCACUGCUGUUCGUCGUUGUCGAUGCGACGAACGGGACUUUUAGUCGACUGGGCCUGUUCAUGAACGUGUCUGCGCGAGCAUGAGGGCCGAGAAACUCCUGAGCAGACUACGCCCGUAGAAGACAUGGAAAAUCACCACUGGACCGGGGUUCGAUUCCCCGCAGCUCCACCA
rnacentral:tmRNA from 1 species